UGGGGAAUAUUGGACAAUGGGCGAAAGCCUGAUCCAGCCAUGCCGCGUGAGUGAUGAAGGCCCUAGGGUUGUAAAGCUCUUUCGGCGGGGACGAUAAUGACGGUACCCGCAGAAGAAGCCCCGGCUAACUUCGUGCCAGCAGCCGCGGUAAUACGAAGGGGGCUAGCGUUGCUCGGAAUCACUGGGCGUAAAGGGCGCGUAGGCGGAUCUUUAAGUCGGGGGUGAAAGCCUGAGGGCUCAACCUCAGAAUUGCCUUCGAUACUGGAGAUCUUGAGACCGGAAGAGGUAAGUGGAACUGCGAGUGUAGAGGUGAAAUUCGUAGAUAUUCGCAAGAACACCAGUGGCGAAGGCGGCUUACUGGUCCGGUUCUGACGCUGAGGCGCGAAAGCGUGGGGAGCAAACAGGAUUAGAUACCCUGGUAGUCCACGCCGUAAACGAUGGAUGCUAGCUGUUGGCCGGCUUGCCGGUCAGUAGCGCAGCUAACGCUUUAAGCAUCCCGCCUGGGGGAGUACGGUCGC
rnacentral:rRNA from 1 species